CCUACGGGGGGCUGCAGUGAGGAAUAUUGGUCAAUGGGAGAGAUCCUGAACCAGCCAAGCCGCGUGAGGGAAGAAGUAUUUCGGUAUGUGAAGCUCUAUCAGCAGGGAAGAAAAUGACGGUACCUGACUAAGAAGCCCCGGCUAACUACGUGCCAGCAGCCGCGGUAAUACGUAGGGGGCAAGCGUUAUCCGGAUUUACUGGGUGUAAAGGGAGCGUAGACGGUGCAGCAAGUCUGAUGUGAAAGGUCGGGGCCCAACCCCGGGACUGCAUUGGAAACUGUUGAACUGGAGUACAGGAGAGGUAAGCGGAAUUCCUAGUGUAGCGGUGAAAUGCGUAGAUAUUAGGAGGAACACCAGUGGCGAAGGCGGCUUACUGGACUGUAACUGACGUUGAGGCUCGAAAGCGUGGGGAGCAAACAGGAUUAGAUACCCGAGUAGUC
rnacentral:rRNA from 1 species